CCCACAAUAUUCAUUCAUUCAAUAAUACAUACAAGAGUUGCUGUCAAUAAUUGGCAGGGAUCAUAAAAAGACUAAAUCAUCAAUAUAACCUUAAUGGAAGGGCAUAAUUGACAGAAACUUAACAACCCAUAUUACGUGACUCUCCAAAAAUGUUGUCGUAUUUGUGUCAAAUUUCCAAAAAUAUACUACUUUUGAAAUAUUCUAC
rnacentral:lncRNA from 1 species